AGGACGAACGCUGGCGGCGUGCUUAACACAUGCAAGUCGAACGCGCUGUACUCCUUCGGGUGUACAGCGAGUGGCGAACGGGUGAGUAACACGUGAGCAACCUGCCCUUGACUCUGGAAUAACAGCUGGAAACAGCUGCUAAUACCGGAUACGACCUCCGAUGGCAUCAUCUGGAGGUGGAAAGCUCCGACGGUCAAGG
rnacentral:rRNA from 1 species